rnacentral:lncRNA from 1 species
UUUUUUUGAGGGAAGGAGGGAGUACUGAGGAUUUAACCCAAAGACACUUAACCACUAAGGUAUGUCUUUGUUGAGACAGGGUCUCACUAAGUUGCUGAGGCUGGCCCCAAACUUAGAAUCCUCCAGCCUCAGCCUCCUGCGUCUCUGCAAUUACAGGAAUGCACCACCAUGCCCUGUUAAACCAUUGAAUCUUGAAUCUCUGAUGCUCUUUUUGACAAUAUCCUGUUCAGUGACACAGAGCUGAUUAGUGGCAGAGCUAGAAAGAAACCCCUGGCACCCUUUUGCCACUAAACUGCUACUCUAGGCACAGAGCAGUGGUUUUAUUGAGUAAGGUUCCAAGACUAGCAGCAUCAGCAUUAGCUGGGAAUUUGUUAGAAAAGCAAAUUUUCAUGCUCUGCCUCAUACCCAGCUGAUUUUCACGAUAAAGUUUGUAAACCACUGGCAAAAGGGAAUAAGGGUAAGUGUGGUGAUGUAUGCCUUAUAAUCCGAGCAACAGGGGAGGCUGAGGCAGGAAGAUCACAAAUUUGAGGCCAGCCUCUGCAAUUUAGCGCAAAACUCUGUCUCAAAAAUAAAAGGGCUGGGGAUUAGCCCACAGGUAGAGUGGUCCUCACGAGGUUCAAACUCCAGUACUCCCAAAAGAAAAAAAGGAGGCCUGCUGAGCCUGUGACACACACACACACACACUAAUAAUCCCAGCAAUUUGGGAGGCCUGAGGCAGGAGGAUUCCAAGUUCAAGGCUGGCCAGGACAAUUUAGUGGAACUGUCUCAAAAAGAUUUUUAAGAGGACUGGGGAUGUACUUCAGUGGCAAAAUGUCCCUUGGUUCAAUCCCCAGUCCUGGAAAGAGAAUGAAACCAAAUGGGUGGCAGGAUGAACUGGGAAGGAGCUGAGACAAAACCUAUGCUCUUUCAGUUUCCUCAUUUGGGUUUUUUUACUUUCAUUUUUUUUUUUAAAUACUGGGGUUUGAACAUAGGGG